CGGACGGGUGAGUAACACGUAGAGAACCUACCUUACACACGGGGGACAACGGCUGGAAACGGCUGCUAAUACCGCAUAAGCACCCAGGUUUCGCAUGAAACAGAGUGAAAAGAGUAAAUCGGUGUAAGAUGGCUCUGCGUCUGAUUAGCUAGUUGGUCGGGGUAAAGGCUCACCAAGGCGACGAUCAGUAGCCGGCCUGAGAGGGCGACCGGCCACAUUGGGACUGAGACACGGCCCAGACUCCUACGGGAGGCAGCAG
rnacentral:rRNA from 1 species